GGCUCAGCUAGUGGUCAACUGUAAAAGUAUCUAUGUAGGCUCAGCUAGCGGUCAACUGUAAAAGUAUCUAUGUAGGCUCAGUUAGUGGGCAACUGUAAAAGUAUCUAUGUAGGCUCAGCUAGUGGUCAACUGUAAAAGUAUCUAUGUAGGCUCAGCUAGUGGUCAACUGUAAAAGUAUCUAUGUAGGCUCAGCUAUUGGUCAACUGUAAAAGUAUCUAUGUAGGCUCAGUUAGUGGACAACUGUAAAAGUAUCUAUGUAGGCUCAGCUAGUGGGCAACUGUAAAAGUAUCUAUGUAGGCUCAGCUAGUGGUCAACUGUAACAGUAUCCAUGUAGGCUCAGUUAGUGGACAACUGUAAAAGUGUCUAACAAAACUGUUUCAAGUUAUGAGUGGCACUCAGACCCCAAACAGACCAAAGAAAGCUCCCUCCUGUCCC